AAACUGGGAUUAGAUACCCCACUAUGCCUAGCCUUAAACACAAAUAGUUAUGUAAACAAGACUGUUCGCCAGAGUACUACCGGCAAUAGCUUAAAACUCAAAGGACUUGGCGGUGCUUUAUACCCUUCUAGAGGAGCCUGUUCUAUAAUCGAUAAACCCCGAUAAACCUCACCAUUCCUUGCUACUACAGUCUAUAUACCGCCAUCUUCAGCAAACCCUAAAAAGGUACAAAAGUAAGCACAAUCAUAAUACAUAAAAACGUUAGGUCAAGGUGUAACCUAUGGAACGGAAAGAAAUGGGCUACAUUUUCUAAUCUAAGAAAAUCCAACACGAAAGUUAUUAUGAAACUAAUAACCAAAGGAGGAUUUAGCAGUAAACUAAGAAUAGAGUGCUUAGUUGAAUUAGGCCAUGAAGCACGCACACACCGCCCGUCACCCUC
rnacentral:rRNA from 1 species